rnacentral:rRNA from 1 species
AAAUUGAAGAGUUUGAUCAUGGCUCAGAUUGAACGCUGGCGGCAGGCCUAACACAUGCAAGUCGAACGGUAACAGGAAGCAGCUUGCUGCUUUGCUGACGAGUGGCGGACGGGUGAGUAAUGUCUGGGAAACUGCCUGAUGGAGGGGGAUAACUACUGGAAACGGUGGCUAAUACCGCAUAACGUCGCAAGACCAAAGAGGGGGACCUUCGGGCCUCUUGCCAUCAGAUGUGCCCAGAUGGGAUUAGCUAGUUGGUGAGGUAACGGCUCACCAAGGCGACGAUCCCUAGCUGGUCUGAGAGGAUGACCAGCCACACUGGAACUGAGACACGGUCCAGACUCCUACGGGAGGCAGCAGUGGGGAAUAUUGCACAAUGGGCGCAAGCCUGAUGCAGCCAUGCCGCGUGUAUGAAGAAGGCCUUCGGGUUGUAAAGUACUUUCAGCGGGGAGGAAGGUGUUGUGGUUAAUAACCACAGCAAUUGACGUUACCCGCAG